rnacentral:misc_RNA from 1 species
CCAAUUUUUUGAUAUCAUGCAUGGGAUCUUCAUUUUAUUAUCUUUUCUUUUUAUCAUUAUCUGUGAUUCAAAUCCUUAAACAAAAGCCCAUAGGAGCUGACAUCUCAGUCAGGUUUGUCUUCAUGCCACCCUCCCUCUAUAAAGCAGCCAACCAACCACACUCCAGUAAAAACGCCACUGCACAAAACAGAAACACACACACUCUCUCUCUCAAAUGGAAAAACCCAUGGCCGAGCCUUGGAGACCUGACAUGGCCCUUUUCCGGCCACCGGAAACGCCCCGCGAGCCCAUGGAGUUCCUCUCGCGUUCAUGGAGUGUCUCAGCCUC